ACAAUGGAGAGUUUGAUCCUGGCUCAGGAUGAACGCUAGCUACAGGCUUAACACAUGCAAGUCGAGGGGAAACGAC
rnacentral:rRNA from 1 species